UACAUAUAUGACAGAUGAGGAGGUUCUCAAAGGGGUUAUAUACCCUUCAAUAUCUAGCAUAUGAAAUAUUAUAACAGAGAAGGUGGCUGUGGCUGUAAUAAAAGAAGCCGUAGAUGAGGAUCUAGCAGAAGGGUACUAUGAAAUUAAUGGACGCCCGAGAGCCCCGAAAACUCAAUUAGGUCAUCGGUUUAUUGUCUUGUGCCAGGAGAGGUUGGGUGAAUGUUGAUGUGGAUAAAUUUUCAUGUGAAUCAUGCGGAGCAUACCUUAUUUUUACUUUGUUGCCGAGGUGGACUCUUGACGAAGCUCUAGGAUUAGUUAAACUUGGCAAUGGUGAAAUAUGUCAGAAACAUUGGUGAGAUGCAAUUUCACAAGCAUAAUGAGAACCAUUUGAUUUGGGAUGCUGUACAGUGGUCUGGCUGUGGCUGGUGGAGUCACUAACAAACCAAAAGAGCAGAUUGUAGGGAUUCUUUGAGUCCAUAUAUAUUGGGAAAUCAAGCAUGGAACACAGAGCAAUAUAUAUACUUUUCCAUUUUGUAUAGCUUAUGAAAUUGGAAGACUUGGUUCAAUUAAAUGUUUCAAUGCUUAUAGAAUUGUAUAUGGUGAAUCAAUUGAAGUUUGUUUGAUGUAUCAAAGUUGCUUUUAGCAUAA